AACGAACGCUGGCGGCAGGCUUAACACAUGCAAGUCGAACGCCCGUAGCAAUACGGGAGUGGCGGACGGGUGAGUAACGCGUGGGAACGUACCCUGAGGUACGGAAUAACCGAGGGAAACUUCGGCUAAUACCGUAUGAGCCCCGCAAGGGGGAAAGAUUUAUCGCCUUGGGAGCGGCCCGCGUCGGAUUAGCUAGUUGGUGGGGUAACGGCCUACCAAGGCUUCGAUCCGUAGCUGGUCUGAGAGGACGAUCAGCCACACUGGGACUGAGACACGGCCCAGACUCCUACGGGAGGCAGCAGUGGGGAAUCUUGCGCAAUGGGGGCAACCCUGACGCAGCCAUGCCGCGUGAACGAUGAAGGCCUUAGGGUUGUAAAGUUCUUUUACCCGUGACGAUGAUGACGGUAACGGGGAAUAAGCUCCGGCUAACUCGUGCCAGCAGCCGCGGUAAACCGAGAGUA
rnacentral:rRNA from 1 species